rnacentral:rRNA from 1 species
CUACGGGACGCUGCAGGUGAGAAAACUUUGCAAUGUGCGAAAGCACGACAAGGUUAAUCCGAGUGGUUUCUGCUAAAGGAACCUUUUGACAGUCCUAGAAACACUGUUGAAUAAGGGGUGGGCAAGUUCUGGUGUCAGCCGCCGCGGUAAAACCAGCACCUCAAGUGGUCAGGAUGAUUAUUGGGCCUAAAGCAUCCGUAGCCGGCUCUGUAAGUUUUCGGUUAAAUCUGUACGCUCAACGUACAGGCUGCCGGGAAUACUGCAGAGCUAGGGAGUGGGAGAGGUAGACGGUACUCGGUAGGAAGGGGUAAAAUCCUUUGAUCUAUUGAUGACCACCUGUGGCGAAGGCGGUCUACCAGAACACGUCCGACGGUGAGGGAUGAAAGCUGGGGGAGCAAACCGGAUUAGAUACCCUAGUAGUC